rnacentral:rRNA from 1 species
AUUGAACGCUGGCGGCAUGCUUUACACAUGCAAGUCGAACGGUAACAGGUUAAGCUGACGAGUGGCGAACGGGUGAGUAAUGCAUCGGAACGUGCCCGAUCGUGGGGGAUAACGCAGCGAAAGCUGCGCUAAUACCGCAUACGAUCUGAGGAUGAAAGCGGGGGACCGUAAGGCCUCGCGCGAUCGGAGCGGCCGAUGUCCGAUUAGGUAGUUGGGGGGGUAAAGGCUCACCAAGCCAACGAUCUGUAGCUGGUCUGAGAGGACGACCAGCCACACUGGGACUGAGACACGGCCCAGACUCCGACGGGAGGCAGCAGUGGGGAAUUUUGGACAAUGGGCGAAAGCCUGAUCCAGCAAUGCCGCGUGCAGGAAGAAGGCCUUCGGGUUGUAAACUGCUUUUGUACGGAGCGAAAAGGUUCUCUCUAAUACAGAGGGCUCAUGACGGUACCGUAGGAAUAAGCACCGGCUAACUACGUGCCAGCCGCCGCUGUAAAAC